rnacentral:rRNA from 1 species
UACGUAGGAGGCGAGCGUUGUCCGGAAUCACUGGGUGUAAAGCGCGUGUAGGCGGCCUGCCAAGUCUGCUGUGAAAGCGCCUGGCUUAACCGGGCGAGGUCGGUGGAAACUGGCGGGCUGGAGGACGGUAGAGGGGGGUGGAAUUCCCGGUGUAGUGGUGAAAUGCGCAGAUAUCAGGAGGAACACCAAUUGCGAAGGCAGCUCGCUGGGACGUUACUGACGCUGAGACGCGAAAGCGUGGGGAGCAAACAGG